UUACCAUGCAAGUCGAGCGGGGGAAGGUAGCUUGCUACUGGACCUAGCGGCGGACGGGUGAGUAAUGCUUAGGAAUCUGCCUAUUAGUGGGGGACAACAUCUCGAAAGGGAUGCUAAUACCGCAUACGUCCUACGGGAGAAAGCAGGGGAUCUUCGGACCUUGCGCUAAUAGAUGAGCCUAAGUCGGAUUAGCUAGUUGGUGGGGUAAAGGCCUACCAAGGCGACGAUCUGUAGCGGGUCUGAGAGGAUGAUCCGCCACACUGGGACUGAGACACGGCCCAGACUCCUACGGGAGGCAGCAGUGGGGAAUAUUGGACAAUGGGGGGAACCCUGAUCCAGCCAUGCCGCGUGUGUGAAGAAGGCCUUAUGGUUGUAAAGCACUUUAAGCGAGGAGGAGGCUACUUUAGUUAAUACCUAGAGAUAGUGGACGUUACUCGCAGAAUAAGCACCGGCUAACUCUGUGCCAGCAGCCGCGGUAAUACAGAGGGUGCGAGCGUUAAUCGGAUUUACUGGGCGUAAAGCGUGCGUAGGCGGCUUAUUAAGUCGGAUGUGAAAUCCCCGAGCUUAACUUGGGAAUUGCAUUCGAUACUGGUGAGCUAGAGUAUGGGAGAGGAUGGUAGAAUUCCAGGUGUAGCGGUGAAAUGCGUAGAGAUCUGGAGGAAUACCGAUGGCGAAGGCAGCCAUCUGGCCUAAUACUGACGCUGAGGUACGAAAGCAUGGGGAGCAAACAGGAUUAGAUACCCUGGUAGUCCAUGCCGUAAACGAUGUCUACUAGCCGUUGGGGCCU
rnacentral:rRNA from 1 species